rnacentral:rRNA from 1 species
GAUGAACGCUGGCGGCGUGCCUAAUACAUGCAAGUCGAGCGAAGCGGGGACGAGUAAGGAACACGUGGAUAACCUCCUAUAAGAAUGGGCUAACUUCAGGAAGACGGAGCUUAACCCAAAACUCAUAAGUGGAUCAGCGAUGCAUUAGCGAGGUGGUAAGGUAACGGCUUACCAAGGCAACGAUGCAUAGCCGACCUGAGAGGGUGAGCGGCCACACUGUAAUGGAGACACGGUCCAGACUCCUACGGGAGGCAGCAGUAGGGAAUCUUCCGCAAUGGACGAAAGUCUGAUGGAGCAACGCCGCGUGAGUGAAGAAGGUUUUCGGAUCGUAAAGCUCUGUUGUUGGUGAAGCGGUAAUCAACCAGAAAGUCACGGCUAACUACGUGCCAGCCGCCGCGGUAAUUC